UACGUAGGGGGGCGAGCGUUGUCCGGAUUUAUUGGGCGUAAAGAGCGUGUAGGCGGCCAGGUAGGUCUGCUGUGAAAACUCGAGGCUCAACCUCGAGACGUCGGCCGAAACCAUCUGGCUAGAGUCCGGAAGAGGAGAGUGGAAUUCCUGGUGUAGCGGUGAAAUGCGCAGAUAUCAGGAAGAACACCCGUGGCGAAGGCGGCUCUCUGGGACGGUACUGACGCUGAGACGCGAAAGCGUGGGGAGCGAACAGG
rnacentral:rRNA from 1 species